rnacentral:rRNA from 1 species
AAAAACAUCGCCUCUUGCAAAAAUCAAAGUAUAAAAGGUCCUACCUGCCCAGUGAUAUUAAAUUAAACGGCCGCGGUAUUUUGACCGUGCUAAGGUAGCGCAAUCACUUGUCUUUUAAAUGAAGACCUGUAUGAAUGGUGGAACGAGGGCUUAACUGUCUCCCUUUUUAAGUCAGUGAAAUUGAUCUACCCGUGCAGAAGCGGGUAUAAAUAUACAAGACGAGAAGACCCUUUGGAGCUUAAGACACAAGGUCAACUAUGUCAAAAAUCUUAACAAAUAAAGAGCAAACAAAAUAAAAACUGACCAGAGUCUUCGGUUGGGGCGACCGCGGGGGAAAAUCGAACCCCCAUGUGGAACGGAUUAUACAUCUAAAAUAUGAGAGACACCUCUAAGACACAAAACCUUUGACCAAAAGAUCCGGCAUACAGCCGAUUAACGAACCAAGUUACCCUAGGGAUAACAGCGCAAUCCCCUUCAAGAGUCCAUAUCGACAAGGGGGUUUACGACCUCGAUGUUGGAUCAGGACAUCCUAAAGGUGCAGCAGCUUUUAAGGGUUCGUUUGUUCAACGAUUAAAGUCCUACGUGAUCUGA